GGAUGUGGCUCAAGUGGUAGUGCACUUGCCUAGCAUGUGUGAGGCACUGGGUUCGAUUCUCAGCAUCACA
rnacentral:tRNA from 1 species